UCUUAUGAAUGAACAAAAGAAGUGGAUUUUAAAGAUGGAACCUACUCCUGGUGAAGAUACUGUGAA
rnacentral:pre_miRNA from 1 species